CAGGCUGUCUACACUCUUUCCAGCCACCCUACCAGCCCCAAAUUUCACUUUCCAGGCAGGCUGUCAAAUUUCAAUUCUUAAGCACGUUCAAGCCAAUUUCAGUUGGCAUUCUCAAUAUCCAGAAUUUUCAUACUUCUUUUCUCCACAGCAAAAAAUUCAAGUGAGCAGCAACAUAGCUCGAUUCAUUCAACAGCAGGCUUUGAGCAUCAGGAGGACUAGCACUGCUAUUCCGAUUCAGAGAUAAGGUUAAACGACAGGCUUUGCCUAUACAGGUUAAUGGCUGGUGAUGACGGGGCAGAGCUGAGGCUAGGGUUCAACUCCGUAUUUUGUCUUCCGCUAUUGCACUAGCAUUUAUUUGUCUUUUGUUUCUCCAACUUAAGACUUUUAUGUUAAAUUCUGAAUUAUGUUUUUAUCGAGCUUAAACUCUCAACUUCUAGCUCUAUGUUAUUUAACGUUGGUUAUCGGAAGCAUGAAACCGAACUUGUGAUCCUAAGGCUUUGAAUGUUGUUGAUUGAUUAGUAUCACUUGAUUUC